rnacentral:rRNA from 1 species
GAUGAACGCUGGCGGCGUGCCUAAUACAUGCAAGUCGAGCGAACGGACGAGAAGCUUGCUUCUCUGAUGUUAGCGGCGGACGGGUGAGUAACACGUGGAUAACCUACCUAUAAGACUGGGAUAACUUCGGGAAACCGGAGCUAAUACCGGAUAAUAUUUUGAACCGCAUGGUUCAAAAGUGAAAGACGGUCUUGCUGUCACUUAUAGAUGGAUCCGCGCUGCAUUAGCUAGUUGGUAAGGUAACGGCUUACCAAGGCAACGAUGCAUAGCCGACCUGAGAGGGUGAUCGGCCACACUGGAACUGAGACACGGUCCAGACUCCUACGGGAGGCAGCAGUAGGGAAUCUUCCGCAAUGGGCGAAAGCCUGACGGAGCAACGCCGCGUGAGUGAUGAAGGUCUUCGGAUCGUAAAACUCUGUUAUUAGGGAAGAACAUAUGUGUAAGUAACUGUGCACAUCUUGACGGUACCUAAUCAGAAAGCCACGGCUAACUACGUGCCAGCAGCCGCGGUAAUACGUAGGUGGCAAGCGUUAUCCGGAAUUAUUGGGCGUAAAGCGCGCGUAGGCGGUUUUUUAAGUCUGAUGUGAAAGCCCACGGCUCAACCGUGGAGGGUCAUUGGAAACUGGAAAACUUGAGUGCAGAAGAGGAAAGUGGAAUUCCAUGUGUAGCGGUGAAAUGCGCAGAGAUAUGGAGGAACACCAGUGGCGAAGGCGACUUUCUGGUCUGUAACUGACGCUGAUGUGCGAAAGCGUGGGGAUCAAACAGGAUUAGAUACCCUGGUAGUCCACGCCGUAAACGAUGAGUGCUAAGUGUUAGGGGGUUUCCGCCCCUUAGUGCUGCAGCUAACGCAUUAAGCACUCCGCCUGGGGAGUACGACCGCAAGGUUGAAACUCAAAGGAAUUGACGGGGACCCGCAUAAGCGGUGGAGCACGUGGUUUAAUUCGAAGCAACGCGAAGAACCUUACCAAAUCUUGACAUCCUUUGACAACUCUAGAGAUAGAGCUUUCCCCUUCGGGGGACAAAGUGACAGGUGGUGCAUGGUUGUCGUCAGCUCGUGUCGUGAGAUGUUGGGUUAAGUCCCGCAACGAGCGCAACCCUUAAGCUUAGUUGCCAUCAUUAAGUUGGGCACUCUAAGUUGACUGCCGGUGACAAACCGGAGGAAGGUGGGGAUGACGUCAAAUCAUCAUGCCCCUUAUGAUUUGGGCUACACACGUGCUACAAUGGACAAUACAAAGGGCAGCGAAACCGCGAGGUCAAGCAAAUCCCAUAAAGUUGUUCUCAGUUCGGAUUGUAGUCUGCAACUCGACUACAUGAAGCUGGAAUCGCUAGUAAUCGUAGAUCAGCAUGCUACGGUGAAUACGUUCCCGGGUCU